AGAUUAAAAACCCUGAAAAGUUGAAACGGCUGAGUUGAAACAUACAUAAAAUCCUUUGCAUUUUUAGUGGAAAUUGGUCUAGUUCUGCUGUCAUUCUUCAGAGUUUGAAAUCUUUUCAAGAAUUCUGGUCAUUUUGGGUUCAAAAAAAUGGUUUAAAGAGACUGAGUUUGCUGUUUUUGCUGAGCUGAUUCUGCUGAUGCUGUUACUAACUCUUCAUUUUCCUUCUUUCUCUUCCAAUUUCCAGGUACUCUUUUGAACCAUGAGUGGGUAUGAAGUCUGAAUAUGUUGUUGCAUGAAAGACAUGUCUUCCUGAAGAUAUCAAUAAAAUCAUGUUGUUUUAGGGCCUUAUUUUUACAUCUCCUUUAGGCUAUUUAUUUCUGAUUCCAUCUUUCUUGUCCAUUUUAUCAUGUUUUAAGUUUGCUGUGAUGUGUUCCUGUUGUGAAUGGAUCUGUUCUGUAGUAUAUAUUCAAAAUCCGUGAUUAAGAAUGGCAAGUUUGCAUAGCAGUCUUAUUUAAAGUUGUAGUACAAUCAAUUCAGUGUUUAUUAUUCUUUGAAACAAUGAUCUGAACCUUUUGUAAUGUUUUUGAGGUUGGUUUGUUGUUGUGAAGGAUGAAUUCAGGCCCAUGCUGUGUGUAUUUUGGGGGAAAAUUUCAUGUUACUGCAUAAAUACUGUCUAAACUGAUCAUAUCAUAAAUCAAAUGUUGAUAUGGUUAGUAGAAUGUAUGCAUUUGGCAAUUAAUCAUUUGUUUAAAAAUAUUUGGAAGGGAGUUUAGUGUUUGGAAUGAGGCAAAGUUGAGCUUAUACUAAUAGAUGUAUUAUUUAUUUGGAAUCAUGCUUAGUUUUGUUGAUUUGAAUUCGUGAAUCCUAUUAGAUUUAAAUGAUGAGACAAUUGUGUAUGAGUUAUUAUGACAUUAAGUAAUGCAUUUUAUCAUAGAAUGCGACUGAGUAUCAAGAACAUGUUUUGCAUUGGUCUAGAUUUGUAAAAGUUUGACAAUAGUUGUUCUGAUUUCAAGUUCUUAAGAAAUCAAUUGUGCUUAAUUGA
rnacentral:lncRNA from 1 species